rnacentral:rRNA from 1 species
UACAGAGGUCUCAAGCGUUAUCCGGAUUCACUGGGUUUAAAGGGUGCGUAGGAGGGCAGGUAAGUCAGUGGUGAAAUCUCCGAGCUUAACUUGGAACUGCCGUUGAUACUAUCUGCCUCGAAUAUUGUGGAGGUGAGCGGAAUAUGUCAUGUAGCGGUGAAAUGCUUAGAUAUGACAUAGAACACCAAUUGCGAAGGCAGCUCGCUACACAUAUAUUGACUCUGAGGCACGAAAGCGUGGGGAUCAAACAGG